CUCUUUCGAAACCCUGGUGGAGGGGGUGGGGGUGCUCCCUCGGGUAUCUCGAACGCGUGACCGACCCCUCCCCCGAGUCUGGCUACCCAAAUAAAUCCGAGGUAGGGCUGCCGGGAAGAGUGAACAGGCCCGAACCUCCGUGGCCCUGCCGCGCGGGCCCGGGAACCGCUCUCCCGAGGUCCGGAGGGUGCAGAGCCGAGCUGACGCAGGGCCCACCUGAGGGGUCAAGGCCCUGGGAGGACUUAGGAACUUGACGCCGCUUUCCCUGAACACCCCGACUGACCGGGAGCCCGCCGCAUCACCGCUUCCCCGACAGAGACUGCGUCAAGAUCCCGCCCGGGGGAGCUACUGAUGUGCUGACAGUUGUGCGUUGUAGUUGCUACUGUAGAGGCAGAUAGAAGACGACGUGGGGAGAGGCUCGUGAACGCCCUGGCCAGAGAAACGUCUUGGGCCGGGUUAAUAUUAACUUAGAGACUCAGGACACGGGUUCCCCUGGGCAAAGUACUGGUACGGGCCAAAGGCCCUUCCCUUUCCUCUGUGAAGGCAAGGCAUUGUGAAAGGCAAGGUUGAAGGAUUUGAGAGACCAGGAGAAAGCAACCAACCACGGAAGACCUUCUGCUGAUACCUGGUAACAAUUGGAGUGAUGGAGAGAUAAUUAUCAACAAAAUGCUGUUCUUUUUCUUGUUAUGUUCCCAGUUUGUGAGACCCAGCCACAAAACUCCAGCACAAAUGAGAUAGGAUUAUUUUCCAAGCAACUUAGGUUUAUUUAAAGUUUUUUUUUUUUUUAAUUUAUUUAUGAUAGUCACAGAGAGAGAGAGAGAGAGAGAGAGAGAGGCAGAGACACAGGCAGAAGGAGAAGCAGGCUCCAUGCACCGGGAGCCCAACGUGGGAUUGGAUCCCGGGUCUCCAGAAUCGCGCCCUGGGCCAAAGGCAGGCGCUAAACCGCUGCACCACCCAGGGAUCCCGCAACCUAGGUUUAAAAGAAAUGAAGAGUACUGAUUUAUUCCUUGUGUUGUUUUCUAUAUUCAUAGACUAUAUAUAAACUCUUAGGAAGCAAAAUAAGAUUUUGUACGAUUUAUACAUCAUAUUGGAUAUCAAUGCUCAAAAAUAAGAUGUCAUCUUCUAAACACAAGUUAUCGAUACAUAUUGUAGAUAUAAACAGUUUAAAUUGUGUAAAAUUAAAGUCAUAGGAAUGAGUCACUUCCUGAAGGUCAUCAAUAGUCACAGACCAGAUUAUAUUUUUCCCUUCUCUUUCCCCCUCAGUUCUCUGUCCUCAAAAAUUGAUAGUUGAGAGAUGCCUGGUUGGUUCAGUUAGUGUAGCAUGUAACUCUUGAUCUCAGGACAGUGAGUUUGAGUCCCACUUUGGGUGUAGAGAUUGCUUAAAAUCUUAAAAAAAAAAAAUAGUUGAAAAGAAAAUUAUCCAAUUAGAAUACUUUUUGUUUUCACUAUAAUAACCAUGUUGUUUAGUGUGGUAGUAAAAUCAGUAGCAGAAUGUUCAUUAAAUUAAAUUACCAUGGUGAUCCAAACCUGAGAUUCUGUGAGUUUGGUUUUCUUUUUCAUGAGCUGAUAAUGGGAAGUUUUUUUGUCUGUUAAAAAUAGGGACAUACUGGAAAAAAAAAAAAAAAAAAAAA
rnacentral:lncRNA from 1 species